ACAAACAGUGCCAUGUGACAAAUCAGGCCAAAGGACAGGCAGCUGAUGUGCUAAGCAAUAGUCCUAAUGUAUAGCUCAUGAGAAAGCCAUUGGCUGAAAUUGGCUUGUCAGUCAUUUGUUAAACAUUUAUUAGCACUGAAGGCUAUGUCUUGGAUGAACACGGCUGAUUCUCACACCAAGGAAGAGUAAUGUGUCCUGAGGCUUGUGUUUAUGGAAUUAUGUUCAUUGAUCUCUUACCAAUGGAAGAAGGCUUAAGGAAUGUAAUUUUGUUGUUAAUAUUUUGCUCAAUGUUGAGAUAAAGGACAACAGUAUUCUAUAGCUGCCCUGUCAGACUGAAUGGACACGUCACAUACGUCAAAUGACAAAAUCAAAUCACCAAGAGAGGAAUUUUUUUCAUUUAUUAAAUGAGAACUUGGACAUGGGAAGAUUCUCCAAGGGGAACUCUCAUCUACCAUGAGAAAAUCAUGAACCUGGCUGCCUUCCAAUUAUGGUCGCAGCCUGUGCUCGGAUGACACGAAAAACAUCUGGAGCGUGAUGCAGCCCCUCGCAUCCCCAUCCGACAAACAGAUGGCUGAGCACGCCUCGGGCAGCGCAGGAAUAUCACCCCACUCGGAGAGUUUUAAUGAUAACUCAGCUAGUUGCUCCAAAACAUCAGAUGUUACACCAAUAUUUUGCACAAAUUGAGUAAUGUGAAAUGUUCUGCCAAGCCUCCUCGGUGCGCUCCUCCUCAGCUGUCAGCCCCAGGACAAUGCUGGCAGUGAGGAGCCCUGUGCUCCCACAGGAGCUCAGCUGGCCUGAGUCUGGACUGAGGCCAAAUGGCUCCUCAAACGCUUUCCAUGGGCUACAGCUGAACAUAUAUUGCUGCUGCAUUCAUGCAAUUCCUUCUAGUGGAAGGAAGGCUUGCAUGAAAGCUGCUGGAGUGCUUGCAGUCCUCUCUGGAAGUGGGUGAGGGAGAGGCCCUCCCUGGAGAGCUCACACCGCAGUGUUUUCAGUGACGAUGAUGAGUUUACACAUAGAUACUGUGCCGCCAGAUUUUGUUUGCUCAAGCGUCAUUAAACUUUGUGGAGUUUAAAUGUAGCCAAGCCACAACUCUGGCUUAUAGUAUCCUCCUUGUUGACCACUGUUGAUGUAGCUGUGGCCUUGUUCUAAUGACCAGAGUGGUGUUCUAGGAGGGCAGCCCCUGUUGGGGUGAUGCACUGCUUCACCCUCACCCUGUGAUUUCUCUCACAUUUCUCCACCACAAAGCAUAGGGGUUGAGGGGCUCUGUUUCUUCCCUGGGUGUUGGUCUUGAUCAAACUGAGCAUAUACUUCAGCGGAGCAUUCAUCCAUAGCCACUUUUCGAGCAGCAGUGAGUGGAACAGAGCAUGGACACAAAAGCUCCACUCCAUUCAUCACUCUGGAUUGGUAACGGCUUUUGCAAUCCAGUUUUGUAAAAUAGGGGCGUUUUUAUAUGGACACCAGUGGUGUUGUGAGAAGGUUGUUGCUGCUGUUGUUGCACAGCAGGAUAUUAGUGGGCCAUGAAGAUGAUGAAAGG